rnacentral:rRNA from 1 species
UACGGAGUGGCAGACGGGUGAGUAACACGUGGGAACGUGCCUUUUGGUUCGGAACAACUGAGGGAAACUUCAGCUAAUACCGGAUAAGCCCUUACGGGGAAAGAUUUAUCGCCAGAAGAUCGGCCCGCGUCUGAUUAGCUAGUUGGUGAGGUAACGGCUCACCAAGGCUACGAUCAGUAGCUGGUCUGAGAGGAUGAUCAGCCACACUGGGACUGAGACACGGCCCAG